UCAAACUUGGUCAUUUAGAGGAAGUAAAAGUCGUAACAAGGUUUCCGUAGGUGAACCUGCGGAAGGAUCAUUAUCGUGAAGCAGCUUGUUUUUCAAGCCUGCCCACCCUCUGUGUAUCUUCUGGUUGCUUUGGCAGGCCGUGGGGAGACUCACCGUCGGCUUUGGCUGAUGAGUGCCUGCCAGAAGACCGCCAACUUCGUUUGAAUGAUGUCGUCAGAUGAACAAGCAAAUGGAACAAAACUUUCAACAACGGAUCUCUUGGUUCCGGCAUCGAUGAAGAACGCAGC
rnacentral:misc_RNA from 1 species